rnacentral:lncRNA from 1 species
AUCCCUGGGCCUGGGCCUACCUAGGUGAAGACAGGCAUUUUUGUUUUCCUGCCCGGAUGUUGCAUUUCCCAAGACCACCCUGGCCUGCCAUGCCCUCAUCCUGUGCCUUUAAAAACCCCCGAGACCCUGGCAGGCAGACGCACAAGCAGCUGGACAUUGAGAGGAGCAUAUAGGCAGAGAAUACAGGGGCUGCUGGAUGUCGAAAGGAACGCACCAGCAUAGGAGCACACCGGCAUGCUGGCAGGCCAUUGACCAGCGGAAGAAUGCAGAGUUUGUCGCGGGAGGUCAGAGAAGAGUCAGGCCGCCAUACCUGACUCCAGGAGAAAACCGUCUCCCUUCUGGUUCCCCCGUCUGCCGAGAGCUACUUCCACUCAAUAAAACUUUCCACUCAUUCUUCAAGCCCACGUGUGAUCCAAUUCUUCCCGUACACCAAGUGCUGGUAAUGAUGUAUACCUGGCAGCUGACCGUCAAAUCUUAUGAAGGAUUAAAACAUAAAGUUUGCAUUAAAGGUCAAAACAGUCACAAGCCUGCUCAAAUUCGGAAAGAGGGGACGGAAAUGGAACCUCUUCAUGGGAGGAAGUUUUUGCUGAAGCACCAAAAUAGAGGCAAAGUUUUGUAGAGGCCAAGUGCUACCUUAUUCUCAAAUGGAGUUUUAGAUCAUCCAUGAAUUACUUGCAAAAGGGACGUCCUGAAACUCUGCACCACUAGACCAUCGUACACCUUUAAUGAAUUCUUAGAUGCAUUUUAUAUAUGAUGUAUGUACAUAAAAAUGAAUGAAUUCAUUAGAAGACAUUUUAAAAAUGGGAAUUUCCGUGGACAAAGAGUUUUAGGAAAGUUGAGUAUUUCUUUUGAAGCUACGUGAGGAGAGCUUUUGGAAAAGCACUAAGGAAUCUUGAUGCGUAUGCUUCGUGCUUCUGUAGACACACAGUUGGCACCUGACUCAGAUAUAAAAAAGUCUCAAGGUUUUAUUAUCGCUGGCAGAGCAAGAGGAGAGAUGGCAAGAGUGAGACACUGCAACCCACCCACUGAUGUUGGGGCGAAGAUGCCCUAGGCCAGACCUAUAACACAUAAAUAGAAAGGAGCUGGACUUGAGGGACUUGAUUUUGAACAGGACACUGUCAAAAGCCCCCACCUGGGAAACUGUACUAAUAGCCCCCACCUGGGAAACUGUACUAAUAGAAGAGUCAGCGUGGGGUGGUGUGUUAGUUUGUUUUGAUGCUGCUGAUGAAGACAUACCCAAGACUAGGCGAUUUACAAGAGAAAGAAGAGGUUGAAUUGCACUUACAUUUCCGCACGGCUGGGGAAGCCUCACAAUCAUGGCGGAAGGUGAGGAGGAGCAAGUCACAUCUUAACGUGGAUGGCGGCAGGCAAAGACACAAAGAAUGAGAGCCAAGUGAAACAGAUUUCCCCUUAUCAAACCAGCAGAUCUCACGAGACUUAUUCACUACCACGAGGACAGCAUGGGAGAACCCACCCCCACAAUCCAACCAUCUCCCACCACGUCCCUCCCAGAACACGCGGGAAUUAUGGGAGUACAAUUCAAGAUGAUAUUUGGGUGGGGACAUAGAGCCAAACAAUAUCAGGUGGACUGCCAGUAAAAAGGGGCGGGCGUGUGUUAAUGCUUUGGAGAAGGCAUUGUGUCUCUGAUAGGAACUACAGGUGAGAGAGAGAUCCCAGCGACAGAAGGUCGCCAAGGAAUCUGUGGGAGAGGAAAUAAGAAUUUGCCUGUCUGUUCCCAGUUGUUUGAGACUGGGGAGAAGACGAUGAGAAAAGUUUUAAAUUGGAUGAGAGGUUGAUACUCAGAUAUUAGGCAGAAAGGAACUUUUAUACCCCUGAAAAAUGAGAGUUCUUCUUAAUAACUAACUAGAAAAAAAUGUCAGAUCGGCCUAAUAUUUCAUCUGGGGAUAAAUAAGGACAGUUCAAAAUUAGAAAGAGCAGUAGUGAGGAAAAAAAAAUGGUCACUCUCUGCUUUUAACCUGACAACUCUUAUUCAGUCAAUUUAAAUGUUAUACAGGUUUUAGAUAAAAUACUAACAAGUAAAACACCUAUGAUAGAGUUCUGAGUAAAAUGUACAGCAUUCUGUACUUCAUAAAGAAUAUAAACUCAAGUUUAUUAUAUAUAUUACAUGUUCUCUCUAUAUUCUUUCUAUAUAAUCUAUUAUAUGUGUUUUCUCUAAUAGUAAUUAAAAAAACCCCACACAUACAGGUAUCUAUAGAAAAAAUUGGAUGCUGACACACUUACCUAAUGUUAAGACAAUUUUUUCCCCAGGGAUUGAUUUAAGUUUUCUUCUUUAUAUUUAUUUCCUCUGGCCCUGGAGGCAGUGUAUACUUUACUCAUUCUUUGAUGCAAAUGCUUUUUUUUUUUUUUUUUUUUCAGACGGAGUCUCACUCUUGUCGCCCAGGCUGGAGUGCAGUGGUGCUAUCUCAGCUCACUGCAACCUCCUCCUCCUGGGUUCAAGCGAUUCUCCUGCCUCAGCCUUCCAAGUAGCUAGGAUUACAGGUGCCCGCCACCACGCCCUGCUAAUUUUGUAUUUUUCGGUGAGACAGGUUUCGCCAUGUUGGCCAGGCUCAUCUUGAACUCCUGACCUCAGAUGAUCUGCCUGCCUCAGCCUCCCAAAGUGCUAGGAUUACAGGUGUGAGCCACUGCACCGGGCCGCAGGUACUUUUUUGAAUCCUUUGAAGGUGUCUGUUGGAAAAUGUGAUUACACUUCCCAGGAAGCAGGUGAUAAUCUCUCCCUAAGCCCCUUGACAAUGGAUGGUCCAGCCUCCUGUUGGGGUUGCUUGGUCCUUUGGCAUGAUUUAAAAUUUCUUAGGCAAAUUUUUAUUUUCAGGUAACCACUCGCUGGUUGAUGAGAACCACCUGCAUGCUGUUGCCCCUGCUGAUGAGGGAAUUCUAGCUGGUUCCAGGGCUGCUUGUGCUUUCUCUGCACAGUACUUUCUUGUUAUUACCAUGGCCUCUUGCCUUUAUUUCAUAGGCCUUUGUCAGACCCUGGGUAACAGUUUUCCUAAAUAUCCAGGGCUCCAGGAGGCCCUUUUUCUAGGCUUAAAACUCUCCUAACUUCUUCCCAGUCGGGAAAUUGAGACUUAGAGCAGACCAACAACUUUCUCCUAAAAUAAAUCACCUCCUCUAUCUGCAGCCUAGGUCAGCUUCUCUAACUCUUUUACCAGCUGGAGGCCAGUGAUCUGCUAAGGUCAUAUGUGUGCACGUGUUGCUGGGUGAGUCUAGCUUUCUAUAGGCUAUGGGAGUGGUUGACAUACAUUUCCUAGGACUUCGUCAUACACAUAAUGGAAAUAAUUCCAUGUGAGCAUACCAUUUUUAGCUUACUAAAUCCAAAAGUAUAUUAAAAGGUACUUUAUGAUAAAUAGAAGAAUAGAAGAAUAUUUUCACUUUGUAAAAGUUUUCAAUGUUCUAAUUCACUCAUUAACAGUAAAAAUCACAUAAAUAUCUUGAUAGAUGCUGAAUAAGAAUUUUAUAAAGCUCAUUAUUUAUUUUAAAAAUUGAAACAAACAACUUAUAAAGUUGAAUUUCUACCAUAUUAUGUAUUUUUUAAAUUCUCAUAAAAUUGAAUGGAAACUUCCUUAAUGUGUUAAAAGCUUAUACCAAAAUAUAAUGUAAAUAUAAAUAAUUGAUGCAUAUACAUCAAAUAUCACAUUUAAAGAUUAGAUACAUUAUCUUAAAUUGGGAGCAAAACAAAUGUCCAAUUUUAAUUAUUGGAUUUCAAUAAAUCACUUGAGAUUAGGGCUAAUUCUUUGGAAUUCAUGUAAAAGAAAUAUGGAUUUUGAAAAUUUUGAGAAAAAAAUAAAACAUUAUAACUCUAUGAUUACAGAGAUAUGAUCUGCAUGAAAUCCUAGUAGAAUUAACAAAGAAUGAGUGUUAAUAAGAGAACUGAACAAGUUUGCUAAACAUGAGGUCAACUUUCUCAAUUCUUCAGCAUUCAUUUAAGUAAGUAAUGCCAACCAAAACAAAAAAUAAUGUAAUAUAAAACAAUAGCAACAAAAUUUUAAAAGUAUUUAGAAAUUAACCUUGGAAAGAAAUCUAUAAACCUUUAUAAUAGAAAUUUUAAAAUUGUAAUAAAGGAAAUUAAGGAAGACCUAAAUAAAUGUGGAAAUCUAUUAUGUCUUUAUUUAAAAAUAUAAAAGUUUUUAUUCCAAAAUAAAUGUAUAAGUUCAAUGUAAUUUCAAUAAAGAUUCAGUAGUACCUUUGAGGAACUGAACGUAUAUACGUAUAUACAAAAUACACAGAUACAAAAAUAUCUGUGAAAAAGUCAGCUGACAGAAGAGAAACAGGAUAUCUUCUUAGUGAUAUAUAAAUGUAUUACAAAGCCUAAGUAAUAAUAAUAUAGGAAAUAAAGAGUGAAAAUAUUAAUGUAACAAAAUAGAGUUCAAGAGCAGACCCCUUGAUCUGGGAACUAGAUAAAGAUGAAAGUGGUAUCAUGUUCAGUGGCAAAAGGUUGAAUGGUUCAUAAAUUGUUUUGGGAAAACAGACUUACAAAGUAUAAAAAUAAAAUUGGCCUUCUAUUUCAUAGCAUAUACAAAGGAGGACUGCUGAUUGAUUAAUGAUUUAAAUGCAAAUAGUAAAACCAUAAAAAAUAAUGGGGCUAUGGAGACUUCAUUACAGAACCUUAAAAGCACAAUGUAUAUGGAUUUAACUGCAAUGGAUUUAUCAACAUAAAAAUUCAGGAUAUUUUUCCAGCAAUGAAUAUUACAAAAAAUAUUAACAGAUGGACGACAGAUUGGGAGAAGAUAUUUGCAAAGGGUUUAAUAUUAAAACUAUACAAAGAAUGUCUUCCAAGUAACCAAAAAGAUGAAAAAAUUAGUAAGGAAAUUGGCAAAGGAUAUAAAUGGCACAAAAUGACUGAAAAUUAUGUGUAUAGAUGUGCAACCACAUUAGUAAUCAGAUAAAUGCAAAAUAAAAUAAAAUACUACUUCACAGUUAUUGGAGUCCCCAAAUGGAAAAGAAGCUGUGUUGAUAAGAAUAUGGAGAAUUGAUGCUUGUCAUCCAUAGCUUAUGGGAACAUAGAGUGGUGCAGCCUUUCUGGAGGAAAUUACAUGGUGGAUUUACAAAUGCUUAUAUCGUACUACUCAACAAUGUGAUCUUUGUUAUUUUAUUCUGGAAAAAUCUUGCCCCCAUUCCAAGCAGGGACAUGUUUUGUGGAAAUAGGUAAUUGGAGGCAACAUAGCUAUUAUUAUUAGGGGAAUGAAUAAAAGCAAAAUGUGUUGAUUACACACUAUGGUUGUAGUAGUCUGUUUUCAUGCUACUGAUAAAAACAUACCUGAGACUGGGAAAUUUACAAAACAAAGAGGUUUAAUUGGGCUUACAGUUCCACAUGGCUGGAGAGGCCUAACAAUCAUGGCGUAAAGCAAGGAGGAGUAAGUCACAUCUUACGUGGAUAGUGGCAGGCAAAGACAGAAUGUACCAGCAGGGGAAAUGCCAGAUGCUUAUAAAACCAUCAGAUCUUGUGAGAACUCAUUCAUUAUCAUGAGAACAGUAAGGGGGAAUAGCCCCCAUGAUUCAAUUAUCUCUGCCUGGCCCCACCCUUGACACCUGGAGAUUAUUACAAUUCAAGGUGAGAUUUGGGUGGGCACACAGAGUCAAACCACGUCAAUGGUAUUCAUAAUCAACAUGUCUGAUCUUAAAAACUUCAUGUUGACUAAAUAAAUAGAAAAGAGAAUAUUGAUAGCAUAGUAAUAAUUACAAGUACCUUCACAAAACAUUAUCCUUGUUUUAGAAAAAAUUCUCAUACUGAAAAAAAAACCAAAAACAUGAAAUCAAGCAUUUAUUCCAUUGAUAGAUGAAUGGGGGUAGGACUCAGGGAGGAAGGUGAGAAAUAUAAGAUAAAAUAUAUAAUAAAAUAAAAUAAAACAAAAUGGGACCUUUAAGACUGAUGGUGAACAUGUAUCAUGAUUUAUGUGAAAUGUUUAAUUCAGUUAUUUGGACCUGUGGUAAAAAAUCAAAUACCAAGGGGUAAAAAUUAAAUGAAAUUUUAUUUUAAUGCACAGGAAAAUUGAUCAUGCAGACAGGUCCUAUUCUACUAUCAAUCUCUUUUUAGGAAAUCCCUUUACAAACAGUAGACUGUUGAGCAUUGUUUCUUCACAUUUUCUGUAUGUGAAGAUUUAAAAUAUUAGGCAUUUUUGAAUAUGGAAUUGAUAAUGUAUGGUGAAGGCAAUUUGUGUGUUUUUACAAUGCUAUCCAAUACACAAUGAGUAUGUAAAACAUUUCUGUCAACUUCAAGUGUGCCAUUUUGUUCUAUUACUUGCCAAUAUUUUCACUGCAUGAAACUAAUUUGUUUCUGAGGAGUUGGUGACUUUCUGUAACAUAUUUUAUGGACAAUCCAAAACAAUCCAUUAAGCACUCCCUCCCCACACUCCCUGUUUUUCUGUUGACAUUCAGAUUCAACACAUUUAUAAAAUUAAGGACUGUUUUGCCAAUCUCAGGUACCAGGUGUACUACACUUUGAGGGUUAUUUAUUUUCUUCAAAGUCAGACUGGAUUUUGGCCCAUACAUCAUUUGAACUUCUCUCCUUGCAUUAUUUGUCUAUAGGAGAAAUAUUGAUUGGAAAAGCAGUGUAGAAUAAAGUUAAAGUUAGGUAUCCUAUAUAAUUUUUCCUAAAUAAUUAAAAAUGUUUUUUUAAAAAGUGAUGUUAAAAUUGUUAAGUAAAAUCCAAUAUGACUGAUUCCUGUAUUGACUUCCCAAGGAUUAAAAUCUCAUUAGAUAAGCAUGUAAUAUGUCUUACAUGAUAAAGUAUCCAUAAGAGUAGCUAAUAGUUUUCUUAGCAUGUAACAUUCAAAACUGAGCAAUUAAUAAUAUGGAGUGAGCAGUAGCUAACAGUAUUUAAAUUUAAUGAAACCUUCACAAAUUCAUGUUCUUCCAUUUCACAGAAGGAGAAAAAGCUGAUAUUUAACAGUAUUCAGUUUUUUGGGGGAAUACUUUUUAGGAGUAAUAAUAUUUUCUAAGUGCUUAUUCAAGAUAAGUUUUACAUUAUGGGAAAAUGCAAGUUAUUAAUUCUCAUUAGAUUUAUUUAGUGUUCUGUCACUCUUACAUUUUUGGAGAUUUUCCUAAUAAGAUAUGUAUAUUUUGGCAUCCAACCUCUCAAUAUCUUGCAUGGUAUUUAAUAUUGAUAUAGAUAUUCCUUUUUGUUAUCCUGGAGUUUGAAAAUGCCAGCUUGUGGUAUGUCCUUUGUAUAUUAUGAAUUAAAAUAUUUGCCAUUCUUUAAAAUA